rnacentral:lncRNA from 1 species
AUUGCAAUACUCAAGAUACAUCUUCUUUGAACCCAUCUAAAAAUGCAAGGUAAUUAAAAUGUACACUCGACAGACUAAUGGAUUUAGGAAUUGUUUGAACCAAUCUAGAAAAAUGCAAUCUAAGUGCUUGUGCUCACGUACCUUGAGCAGUAGCAAACAAGGGUUUCCUGGUGUCCUCAGCUUGCAACAAGUCCCUGAAAAAGAUGAAGAAAAUAUUAAUGAUGGUCUCAUACUAAAUAUGCUAUACUGUAACUAGAAAUCUAUUGUAGCAAGGUAAAAAUCAUGUUGUCUACAUGGUUAUUAAAACGUCGUUUAAACGACGUUUAAGCGUCGUUUAAAUGCUAAAACGCGUUUAAUAGCUAGAACGUCCAAACGUUUUACAGAUACUGCGUAGAACGUCCAUUCUGGACGUUUCAACGGCGUUUAAACGUCGGAAAGCACGUUCUGGACGUUUAAUACGUUUUAGGGACGUUCUAUGCGCAUACCGUUCGUGGGCCUUAAUGGGCCUGCGCCCAGCCGCUCAACGCCAUCGCGCCCGGCCACCUGCGCCCAGCCGCCAGAGGACAUCGCGCCCAGCCGCCAGACGACCAGACGCGUCGCGCCCAGCCGCCAGACGCCAUCGUGCCCAGAGCCGCCAGCCGCCAGAGCCAGGUACGCCGCCGGCCCCUCCUCCCUCCUCCCUCUUCCCUCCACCUACAGGCUCCAACCCGGUAGAGCCGCCAGAGCCAGGUGCGCCAUUGCUCCUGGUCCCGAGCUCCAGGCGCCAUUGCUCGUUGCUCCAGGUCCCGGUUCCCAGACCCAGUCCCAGUGCAGUGCUCCAUACCCAGUCCUACUGCAGCGCCAUACCCAGUCCUACUGCAGCGCCAUACCCAGUGUUCCAGUGGCAAUACCCAGUGUUCCAGUGGCCAGUGCAGUGCAGUGAAGCAGCCACCAGCAGUGCGUAGUGAGCCAAUGCUCCAGCUACUGUGUGACUGUGUGUUGCAAGCUAAAUGUAUAAUAUAUUAAUAUCAUUCUGCUGUGUGUUGUAGGCUAAAGUGUGGCAGUGAAUUUCAAUUUCAAUGGCAACAAAUAGCGAGGCUAAUGACUCCUAUGACCCACUCAAAGAUCAGUCACGAAGGCCAAAGUCAAAUGAUCCAGGAUGGAAAUAUGCAUACUAUGUUGAGGCGGGAAAGCGAGAGCUGAUUCAAUGUGCUUUGUGCCCCAAACAAAUAAAAGGAGGUAUCAAGAGGGUGAAACAACAUCUAGCUGGUGGCUAUGGAGAGAUUGUCAAGUGUCCUAACACUACUAGAGAGAUUGCUAAAGAGAUGAAUGAAGCUUUGAAUAAUGGGAAGCGGGCUAGGCCGUUGUACCUAGAUGACGAUGUAAUGGAAGAUGAAGCAGAACAAGAAGAUGAUGUCCAAGUUAUGGGAAGCAGGUCAAUGUCAGCAUCAUCCAAGGCUUCCUCGUGUACUGUGCCAAGUUCUGGAACAGCUGCCAAAAGAAACAAAGCAAUUUUCCAAUUGAAGCCCCACCCAAUAGCAGCUCCAAAGAAGUCCAUUGCAUCUAUGAUUCGACGUACACUUCAAGAGGUUGUAGCAGAGAGACAUGCAAAGGGACCUGCUCAAACUACCAUAAGUGCUACCAUGAAGCCUAAGGAAGAAAGAAAUUCUAUUUGUUUGGAGAUAGCCAAGUUUUUCUAUGAGUGUGGUAUACCAUUCAAUGCUGCGAACUCAAGGCAAUUUGAGGUAGCUGUGGAGGCUAUUGCUCAAUAUGGAUCUGGGUUCAAGCCUCCUACUUUCCAUGAGCUACGUGAGCCUUUACUUGCUAGGGCUGUCAAAGACAUAGAUGAUGAGAGGAAGAAGCAUGAGGAUGCAUGGAGCCAGUAUGGUUGCACACUCAUGUCUGAUGGUUGGACAGACAAAAGAGGUCGCCAUUUGAUCAAUUUCCUUGUUAACAGCCCUCAAGGAACAUUCUUCUUGGAGUCAGUUGAUGCAUCAAAUGAGUGAUACAGUGCAGUGAUGCUUGCAGACUUGUUAGAAAAGAGAAUUGAGGGGAUUGGUAAGCAAAACGUUACUCAGAUUGUCACUGAUAAUGGUGCUAAUUAUAAGGCAGCAUGUAAGAUUUUGAUGGAGAGGAUUCCUACAUUGUUCUGGACUCCUUGUGCGGCACAUUGCUUGGACCUUAUGUUGGAGGACAUAGGAAAGCUGAAGGAUUUUAAGAAGCCUAUUGCUCGUGCUCGUCAUGUCACCACUUUUAUUUAUAGACAUGGGAGGAUACUUAGUGAAAUGAGGGUGCAUACAAAUGGGAUGGAUCUUGUGAGACCUGCUGCUACUAGAUUUGCUACUGCCUUCCUUACCAUGAAGAGUUUGCACAAGCACAAGAACUCAUUGAAAGGUCUAUUUUCAAGUGAUGUUUUCACUCAAUCCAAGGUAUCCAAAACAGAGGCAGGUAAAAAAGCAUAUGACAUCGUUUUCUCUCAAGAAUUUUGGAAUUCAAUUGAGGAUUGUCUUAGAGCUUCUUUACCGCUUCUUGUCGUGCUGAGAUUGGUUGAUGGUGAUGAGAAGACAGCCAUGGCUGAGGUUGCUGCAGCCAUGACUAUAGCAAAGAAUAAGAUUACCUCCUCAUUUUCUACUCAAAACAAGAAAGCAUGUCUGAAACGUAUCAUGAGCAUUGUGGAUCGACGUUGGGCGAACCAAAUGGAUACCCCAUUAUAUGGAGCAGCACUAUAUUUGAACCCUGGAAAAUUCUACAAUAUCAAAGCAGGUGUUGAUGAAGGCUAUGUUGGAGAGCUAAGGGGUUGCUUUAAUGAUGUGCUUGUCAAAAUGGUGGUAGAUGAGGAUCUUAGAGAGAAGAUUGAUGCCCAAGCUGUUCUUUAUGAGAACCAAAGAGAGGCAUUUGCAAAUCCAAUGGCUAUAAAAAAUGCACAAACAAGGAAUCCACGUAAGUAUUCUAAAAUUGAUAGCCUCCCAUUCAUUUUCAGCACUAAACAUAUAAUCUUUGUUCUUGCCAUUUUAGUUGAUUGGUGGCUUGCAUAUGGUGGUCGUACCAUUGAACUAUAUAAGUUUGCAAGACGGAUUGUUAGUCUUUGUGCUUCAUCAUCCGGUUGUGAGCGGAAUUGGAGUACAUUUGAAUUUGUAAGUGAGCUAGUCAAAUUAUUCAAUUUCGUUUCGCCACUACGUUUAUCCUUAGUUCUUCAUUGGUUAAAUGGUUGCUUCUAUUUGCACUUGUAGAUGCAUACCAAAAAGAGGAAUAGGUUGGAGCACAAAAGGUUGAAUGACUUGGUAUAUGUUUCAUACAACAAAAAGAUGGCUGAUAGGUUUCAAAAAAUACGCGAGGAAGGAAAAAACUUUGAUCCUUUGAUUUUAGAAGACUUUGAUUGGGACAAUGAAUGGGUUGAUCCAUUAGCUAAUUCUUCUCAUGUUAGCAAUGCUCUUGGAGAUGAUUUCAAUUUAUCGUGGGACCAAGUUGAUGAAGCUAUUGGUGCAUCUGCACAUCUCAGAGGUCGUAAUUUUCCUAGGAGAGCUGCUGGUGGGUGUGUGAGAAGGAAUGAAGACCUUGAGGAAGAGGAAACUAAUUUAGCAAAUGAAGAUGACGAGGAUGAGGAAUAUAUUCUUGAUGAUCUUGAUGUGGAAGAUGAAAUUGAAGGAAGCAAUAGUGGAAACGAUGGUGAUGAUCAAGGCGUGGAUGCUCAUGGUCUUAAUACUGAUGAGUUCGAUGAUGGUUACUAAUCAUGCAUGAAAGUUGUAACUUGUGUUGUGUGGUUGAACUUGUGUUGUUGAACUUGAUCUGUUUCUUUUUAUGCUAAUGCUAUUUGGUUUGUGAACUCAACUUAUGUAUAAACUUAUUCUAUAUUUGAAAUUCUAUGUCAAGUCUGAAAAGACGUUUCAACGUUCGUUUAAACGUUUAAACGUUGAAAAGUUGGUUCAUAACGUUUUAACGUUUUACCGUUUUAAUAACCAUGGUUGUCUAGCUGUAGCAAUUGAAAUAAAAGCAAAUCUAAAAUAGUACUCGAUUUAUCAAAUGCCAAAUACCGAUGUGUGGUCGGACUACCACUAACAGCCAUGUGGCCGGACUACCUAAGCUCAUGGCAACCGACCAGAUCUAGCACAAACAGCCAUGGCAACCGGCCAUAUCUAGGACAAAUCUAGGACAAGGCGUCAGAAGACAACUACGACGAGAAGGCACUACGGCGCUCGAUCACUCUGCUGAGUUGAUUCGCCACACGGUCUGAUGCUAGCGCCAGCAACCAUCGACCAGGCGAGGCCGCAAUAGGAGAUGAACUAAAGGACGAAACAUAGGCGAGGAGGCAUCAUGCAGAUUGGGAAUGAGCUCACCUUCUGAUGGCGGUCGACGGCCAGCAGCAGAUCCAGUGGUCCAAGCGUCAGAGUUGCGGUGGAGGUGCUAGGGCCGGCGCUGGCACUCUGGAGAAGUGUGGCGGGUCUCAGGUUUGUGGCGGCCGAAUCGGCAGCCUCAAGUGCGACGAAAAGUUAUGUGGUGAAAGAAGAUAAG